UAACAGGUCUUAUGGGGGCUUGAGCAAUAAUAUGAUCCAAAGCGUUGUCGUUAAAUCCUUUACAACUAUAAACAACUGUGAGUAAAUGAGCAUACCGUAGGAUACUCUCGGAAAAACAGAGGCCGGGGACAGCAUCAUUAGGUUGAAGAGUGGAUUUUUGAUAUAAUUGAUCAACUACGUUGCGCAUUUCUGUGAUAAAGUUUAAUAGUGCAUCAAAUUUGAGUGGUCCAAAGGCAUUCAAUCUAUCAUUAUAAGAAGGGAACAUGGAUAAUAUAUUAGGAGGAAUCUGGACGUCCACAUGCAAAUGAGCCAUUAUAACCAGACAAACAGUAAAUAACUCCAACGAAAGUCCUUGCCAAAGAAAGUCUCCAGUUGCUUUAGAAAGCGCUAUGGCUGUUGAGAAAUGCUUCAACGCAUUGGGAACUCUGCCGGCCAGCAAGUAUAGCUGGCCAAAUUGGUUCUCAAUACGCCCCUUUGAGAGACUUUUGGAUCGUUCCGUUACACUAUUCACAGAUCUUGAUGUGAUCGAGGGAGUUCUCGUCAAAGUAGGACGAGAAGAUGAGCCUAAGGAGUGAAUCGACGCAUUAGAAUUUUUCCUUUGCAAGGGAGCCAAAUGUGGCAUGUCAGUAAUUGGAGAAAGGAUCACGGAACGCGCGUGUAUAGAAAACUCGAGCGAACUAAAUCCUUCUAACAACUCAGCAGUGAUAUCGCAUAAAAUAGACCGCAUUACGGAGUUUAUUGAAAAAUCAGACCUUGGUCCUAUUAUGAUAUUGGGAGCAUUAAAUAUAUUCUCUUUGUCUUCUGGACAAUUAAAUACGAUGCAUUUUGCAACUAACGCAUGAGGUAUCCUUCUCCGCCAAACAUCCAAGGUAGAACAUAAUUGCUCAACUUCUUGUUCCUCUGACCCAUCUACAAUACCAAUAAGAACGAAAACGCGCCGAAAAUAUUCAAAUUCUUCUAGUAGAGCUUGUUGAUCAUCAAGGCUGGUUAGGAAAUUGUACACCAAUCUGCCCAACGGAAAAGCCAAAGGAUUGAAAGAACUCGCUAUUAAGAUUAGUCAAUAAUCAUAAAAAUAAGAAACAUACAUUUUCUAGUAGCAGUAGCUACAGGGACAUCACUCAACUGAAUAUGACUUACUCUGCGGAGUAAUUGUAGGUAGGACGAGAAACUUUUUCUUCUAACACGACCAAAAGGAAGGACUAAUGAUUGAACUCUGGAAGGAGCAACAAACGAAAAAAAAUCAAAUUCCAUAGCAUCUCCAGCAAUGUAAUGUUUUGGAGCACGUACUGAGAACAAAGUGCUUGAAUACCAUUUAACGGAUUACAUCCAUACCAUCACUAAUUUAUUUUGCAUAUUUCUGUUGAUUGUCGAUCAUAAGUCGGUAAAAUAAACUUUUCAAGAUGAUAUCGCUUAACAAUUAUCAUUGUUGUGAAAUGUCUAAUAUUUGUUAUGCUUUGGAAAUACCAUUCUG